UGCGGAGUAGCUCAGUGGCAGAGCAGCGGUCUCAUAAACCGCCGGUCGCGGGUUCGAUUCCCGCCUCCGCGA
rnacentral:tRNA from 1 species